GAAAGCGUAAUAGCUCACUGGUCGAGUCGGCCUGCGCGGAAGAUGUAACGGGGCUAAACCAUGCACCGAAGCUGCGGCAGCGACACUAUGUGUUGUUGGGUAGGGGAGCGUUCUGUAAGCCUGCGAAGGUGACCUGUGAGGGUUGCUGGAUGUAUCAGAAGUGCGAAUGCUGACGUGAGUAACGACAAAACGGGUGAAAAACCCGUUCGCCGAAAGACCAAGGGUUCCAGUCCAACGUUAAUCGGGGCUGGGUGAGUCGACCCCUAAGGCGAGGCCGAAAGGCGUAGUCGAUGGGAAAAUGGUUAAUAUUCCAUUACUUCUGUGUAAUGCGAUGAGAGGACGGAGAAGGCUAAAUCAGCCUGGCGUUGGUUGUCCAGGUGAAAGGAUGUAGGCAUGUAUCUUAGGCAAAUCCGGGGUACUCUAUGCUGAGAUCUGAUAGCAAGCUGUACUUGUACAGCGAAGUGGUUGAUGCCAUGCUU
rnacentral:rRNA from 1 species